CCUAUUGUGGAACUUCACCUUGUGAUCAUGUGACAUGCCUUCAGACUUGGACUGAAGCUACAUCCCCCUGCUCUUCUGGGCCUCCAGCGUGGAGAGGAAAGAUUUCAGGACUUCUCAGCCUCCACAAUUGCAUGAGCUAAUUCCUUAUGAUAAAUCUCAAUCUCUCUCUCUCUCCUCAACACACACACACACACACACACACACACACACACACACAUCCUCCUAUUGGUUCUGUUUCUCUGGAGACCUUGACUAAUACAUGCACCUUUCAAUCAGAUUGGUGGCUACCUAAUGCCGGAAGUGAGCCAUCCAUCUCUACUGUGCUAAAUUUCAACCUUUUAGUUGCCUGAUCAUGGAGAGGUCUAGGUGGCCUGGGUAGCAGAAACACAGUCAAAGGCUUAGAACAGCAACUAUUUGUCCUCAUGUAUCUUAAUAUUUUAGCAAGUACAACUAUAUCUGUGUGUGACAACAAACUAGAAUUUUCUUAUAAUUCUAAGGCAUUUUAAUGUGUGUGUGUGUGUGUGUGUACACAAAUGCAUGUGCACACUAACAUAACUCCCAGAAAUGAUUUCCACUGACAAAUCAUAAUGAAUUGUAAAAAAAUCAGUAUGACUAAUUUAGUACAUAAUACUAAUUAUUCUUAGAAUUUCCAUCACUAGGAGUCAAAUAUUAAUAAUUUUACCAUAAAAGUGGUGGUAAUCAGAAAAUAUUCUCACUUCUUAUGGAAAACUUUAAAGUUGAAGUGGUGCUGUUUCCAUUAAUAGCCUGGAUCUCAUUAAGUCAUUAACACUUUCUAAAUUCAGUGACAAAAAUUUGAAGUAAAGCAAGCUGGAAAAAGGAGGAAGUUUUACACUUUAAAAUAUCUCUCUGCUUCGGGCUCAGGUUAAAGCUCACCAUACCAAAGACAUAAAAGUACUUUUUAGUGUGAAUGACAUUUCUGGUCAUGUUUCUAUUUGAUGAGAAAUGUUAAGUUUAUAACAAUCAUCCAUCCUUAGUGUGAAAUUUUAUUUUUAUUAAAAAUAUGUUUAUUACUCAAGUAUUUAUAGAUUAACUAAUAUGUUAUCAUGAAUUUUUUUCAAAAGAAUUCAGUGGAUGGGUGGAGGAGUUAGAAGUAUGGAUAAAGUGAGAUUGGCUGUGUUUGAUAAUUAUCAAACCUGGUGGUGGGUAAACGGGGAUUCAUUACAUUAUUCUAUUUUCAUGUAUGUUUGAAAUUUGCCACAGUAUAAAGUUUUUUUCUCUCCAUUUUCUAUUUUUUUACUUUAGCCAUAAUUAUACUUGUGUGUCUAAUUCAUAUUUUAAAAUGUAAAAUAAAAGGUCAUUAAGAUCGUAUGUAUCCAAUUAAAAUAAAUCUGAAAAUAAUGA